UCUGGCGAUGAUGACACACUUGCCCUCACUGAGAACGCUGUUCAGUAAUGAGAACCUCACCUUGUACUCAGAGGAGCUGAGCCAGA
rnacentral:snoRNA from 1 species